CUACGGGAUGCUCCAGUGGGGAAUAUUGCACAAUGGGCGCAAGCCUGAUGCAGCCAUGCCGCGUGUAUGAAGAAGGCCUUCGGGUUGUAAAGUACUUUCAGCGGGGAGGAAGGGAGUAAAGUUAAUACCUUUGCUCAUUGACGUUACCCGCAGAAGGAGCACCGGCUAACUCCGUGCCAGCAGCCGCGGUAAUACGGAGGGUGCAAGCGUUAAUCGGAAUUACUGGGCGUAAAGCGCACGCAGGCGGUUUGUUAAGUCAGAUGUGAAAUCCCCGGGCUCAACCUGGGAACUGCAUCUGAUACUGGCAAGCUUGAGUCUCGUAGAGGGGGGUAGAAUUCCAGGUGUAGCGGUGAAAUGCGUAGAGAUCUGGAGGAAUACCGGUGGCGAAGGCGGCCCCCUGGACGAAGACUGACGCUCAGGUGCGAAAGCGUGGGGAGCAAACAGGAUUAGAUACCCGCGUAGUC
rnacentral:rRNA from 1 species